GAGACCCGAACGGACAAUCGCGAACCCGUAAACGCUCCUGCAGGGGCGGAGGGAGGGCGGACAUUCCGACCGCCCGACCCCGCACCUCGGGGGCACCAUGGCCGCCCCCGCCCCGCAUCGCUGCGGGACGGGCGGCGGGAACACCCGGCGCGGUGGGCGCCAAGGAACAGUGCUGUCGGAGAGCGCCGCGCGUCGGUCUGGGCGCGCAGCGCGAUCCUUCCAAACGUCGAACUUUUACGACUCUCGGCAACGGAUAUCUUGGCUCUCGCAUCGAUGAAGAACGCAGCGAAAUGCGAUACUUGGUGUGAAUUGCAGAAUUCCGUGAACCAUCGAGUCUUUGAACGCAAGUUGCGCCCGAGGCCAUCCGGCCGAGGGCACGCCUGCCUGGGCGUCACGCCUCGCGUCGCUCCGCGCACCCCGCCCCUCCCGCCUCGGGGAGGCGGCGGGCGCGGAUGCGGAGAUUGGCCCCCCGUGCCUGACGGCGCGGCGGGUCUAAGUGCGCGCCGUCGGCCGGGACGGACGCGGCGAGUGGUGGACGGACACGUACGGCGCUGAAC
rnacentral:rRNA from 1 species